rnacentral:rRNA from 1 species
CGAAUGGAGCAAGACUACCCGCUGAACUUAAGCAUAUCACUAAGCGGAGGAAAAGAAACCAACAGGGAUGCCCCUAGUAAUGGCGAAUGAAGCGGGCAGAGCUCACGCCGGAAAUCCGGAGGCCACACGGUUGCCUCCUGAAUUGUAGUCUGGAGAGGUGCCAUCGGUCCCCCUCGGCGCCAAAAUCCCUUGGAACGGGGUAUCGGAGAAGGUGAGAAUCCUGUCAUGCGCCGGAGUGGGACCGUACGAUGUGCUCUCGUAGAGUCGGGCUGCUUGGGAGUGCAGCCUGAAGCGGGUGGUAAAUUCCAUCUAAAGCUAAAUACUGGCGGGAGACCGAUAGCGAACAAGUACCGUGAGGGAAAGAUGCAAAGAACUUUGAAAAGAGAGUUAAAGAGUGCUUGAAAUUGGCAGGAGGAAACCCGGUUGCGCGUGGCAUUUGGCGUGGUCGACUCAGCCGCGCGCGGAGACCUGUAGGGGACCUAACGGCCUCGUGGUCAGCGCGCGCGGUGCACUUCGGCCGCGUCGGUCAGCCGCGUUUCUGUGCGGCCCAGACGGCCGCGGGCAGGGCUUCGGCGCAGCCUGCGGUUUGGGGGUCGCGCGGGAUCUCGGCUGAUGCGCACGGGCGCAACCGACCCGUCUAGUAACACGGACCAAGGAGUCUGACGCGUGUGCGAGUACUAGAGUGGCAAGCUCGAGUGCGCAAUGAAAGUGAAGGGCGUGCCCCGUCAACCGAUCUUGAUCUUCUGUGAAGGGUUUGAGUGGAGCACAUCUGUCGGGACCCGAAAGAUGGUGAACUAUGCCUGAGGAGGGUGAAGCCAGAGGAAACUCUGGUGGAGGCUCGUAGCGAUACUGACGUGCAAAUCGUUCGUCGAACUUGGGUAUAGGGGCGAAAGACUAAUCGAACCAUCUAGUAGCUGGUUCCCUCCGAAGUUUCCCACAGGAUAGCUUGAACGCCGACGGUUUUGUCAGGUAAAGCGAAUGAUUAGAGGCCUUGGGGCUGAAACAGCCUUAACCUAUUCUCAAACUUUAAAUGGGCAAGAGGCGCCGGAUGCUUGACUGAUCCGGCGCGGUGAACGGCGCGUUCAAAGUGGGCCAUUUUUGGUAAGCAGAACUGGCGAUGCGGGAUGAACCGAACGCGGCGCUAAGGUACCCAAGUGUCCGCUCAUCAGAGACCACAAAAGGCGUUGGUACCUCCAGACAGCAGGACGGUGGCCAUGGAAGUCGGAACCCGCUAAGGAGUGUGUAACAACUCACCUGCCGAAGGUACUAGCCCUGAAAAUGGAUGGCGCUCAAGCGGACCACCGAGGCGUUGCCGCCGGCGCGAGCGCGAGGCGUCCGGCGAGUAGGAGGGCGCGCAGUGGGCGACGCAGCUUGAGGCGUGAGCCUGAGUGAAGCCGACUGUGGUGCAGAUCUUGGUGGCAGUAGCAAAUAUUCAAGUGAGAACCUUGAAGACUGAAGUGGAGAAAGGUUCCAUGUGAACAGCAGUUGGACAUGGGUGAGCCGACCCUAAGGGACAGGAGAGCUCCGCUGAACGCGGCCGCUUCCGUCGGCCCGACCGUCGAAAGGGAAUCGGGUUAACAUUCCCGAGCCGGAGCGUGGAUGGAGGGCGGCGACGCGAACGAACCCGGAGACGCUGGCGGGAGCCCCGGGAAGAGUUCUCUUUUCUUCUUAACUGCCUACUCGCCCUGGAAUCGGUUCGGCCGGAGAGAGGGCCGCACGGCAGGCAAAGCACCUUAAGUCUUGAGGUGUCCGGCGCGCUCCCGACAGUCCGUGAAAAUCCGGGGGAGCGGUUCGUUCUCACGACCGGUCGUACUCAUAACCGCAUCAGGUCUCCAAGGUGAACAGCCUCUGGUCGAUAGAGCAAUGUAGAUAAGGGAAGUCGGCAAAAUGGUUCCGCAACCUCGGGAGAAGGAAUGGCUCUGAAGGCUGGGUCCAGGGGUCCUAGGUCCGAGGCCCGAGGCUGCGCAGGGACUACCGGCCUCACGGCUGGCGGACCCCGGGCGGCCGAGGCGCGGAUGGCCUAGGAGCGACCUCGCGGUCUCUCCCUGGGCGCUGAACAGCCGCUUCAGAACUGGCGCGGACAAGGGGAAUCCGACUGUUUAAUUAAAACAAAGCAUUGCGAUGGCCGGGGACGGUGCUGACGCAAUGUGAUUUCUGCCCAGUGCUCUGAAUGUCAAAGUGAAGAAAUUCAACUAAGCGCGGGUAAACGGCGGGAGUAACUAUGACUCUCUUAAGGUAGCCAAAUGCCUCGUCAUCCAAUUUGUGACGCGCAUGAAUGGAUUCGUGAGAUUCCCACUGUCCCUAUCUACUGUCUAGCGAAGCCACAGCCAAGGGAACGGGCUUGGAAGAAUCAGCGGGGAAAGAAGACCCUGUUGAGCUUGACUCUAGUCUGACUCUGUGAAAUGACUCGAGAGGUGUAGAAUAUGCGGGAGGAGCGAUCCGACAGUGAAAUACCGCAACUUUCGACGUCGUUUUACUUACUCGGUGGAGCGGAGAGAGGCUCGCCUCGCUUCUGGCGUUAAGCCGCUUCGUGCGGCGAUCCGCGUCGGGGACACUGUCAGGUGGGGAGUUUGGCUGGGGCGGCACGUCUGUUAAAAAAUAACGCAGGCGCCCGAUUUUGAGCUCAAUGAGAACAGAAAUCUCAUGUGGACCGAAAGGGGAAAAGCUCGGUUGAUUUUGAUUUUCAGUACGAAUACAAACCGCGAAAGCGUGGCCUAUCGAUCCUUUAGUCUUUGGGAAUUUCAAGCUAGAGGUGUCAGAAAAGUUACCACAGGGAUAACUGGCUUGUGGCUGCCAAGCGUUCAUAGCGACGUAGCUUUUUGAUCCUUCGAUGUCGGCUCUUCCUAUCACUGCCUCGCAGCGGGGGCCAAAUGUAGGAUUGUUCACCCACCAACAGGGAACGUGAGCUGGGUUUAGACCGUCGUGAGACAGGUUAGUUUUACCCUACUGCUGCCAGUUUUUCGACGGUAAUUUGGUUCAGUACGAGAGGAACCACCAAUUCGCACCAUCGGUAUAGCCGCCGCCCGAUAGGGCGAUGCGGCGAAGCUGCCAUGCGCCGGAUUACAACUGAACGCCUCUAAGUUGGAAUCCAUGCCGGACGCGAAAAGCCUUCUACCGGGACGGGCGUUCCGCAGCGAGCACGCCCAGCUUCGGCCGGAGCCGCACUCGAUCGCAAGUCACGGGCCCGCCCCGAUGGAUCCCCUGCAGACGACUCGAAUGAGGAACGGGGUGCUGUACGCGGCAGAGUGGCCUUGUUGCCACGAUCCGCUGAGGCUCAGCCUUGGUUCCGAAGAUC